GUGAAGUUGUUUCCUGAGCAAGUUCUGCUAUCAUUUCUUCAUAGCCCUCAUCUAUUUCUGGUUGAGAUUCAGCUAGCCCAAAGUUCCUUCUUUCAGAGCGGAUCCAAUCUCGAAAAAGCACUGAUUUUUCCAAGCCGUCCCGCAUCGACGCUCUGUGUUCACCUAUUUGUAGUCUUGCUUGACUAAAAGCGCUCUCCGGUGCAACAGUUGACGCUUGAAUCGACAGAACAUCCCGAGCCAUCCUUGCAAGAACGGGAAAAUGCUUUUCCCUUGUCUUCCACCAUUCCAAAAGGUAUCCUUGCAAGAACGGGAAAAUGCUUUUCCCUUGUCUUCCACCAAUCCAAAAGGUCGAAAGAGCCGUCUGGAUUCUCAUUCUAUAGUCCCUACGACAAAUAAACUUGAAGCUCAUUUAGAUGAGAAAUUUUAUCUAAAUUUUCCCCUUGAGUACCCCUGAACUCCGUCCACGAUUUAAGAGCUGUUAAGCCAGCAGCUCUUUUAGACGCCUGUGAUGUAGACGAAGUUGGGGUUGGAAUAUUAGGCAUAUCAUGCUCUAAUGCC
rnacentral:lncRNA from 1 species